AGAGAAAGGAUUACUGAUUUGUGUCUCAGUCAGUUCAUUGAACUAACCAACAUCACAGCCUGGGAAGGUCACUAUGGUAGUUGUUUAUUUUUUUGUUGUUUUGAAACUAACAAAAUACAGAGUAUGGAUGUAAACUGGCAGCGGAGGUGAGUGUGAAAUGUAGCAGAAGACAUCGGUGCUCACCAGCUGGAGCGUCUGGUGGAGCUGCUGACCCUGCGGGAGUGCGAGGACCUCCUCUCAACCCUCCCCUCCACAGAGGUGAAUGUUUUCCAGCGGAUCGAGGGACUCAGUUUGGAAAACAACAACCUGCUUCCACAAGGAGAAGACGAGGAGGACCUGAUGCUGCGCAGACGGAGGGACACAGAUGGGGGUUUCUUGUGUCGCACAGCUCUGACAGACUGGCUGCAGAUGCACGGGAAGCAGACUUACUAUGACAGGCUGUCUCACGCACUGCAGCAGAUCGGCAGGACUGACAUCGCUAUAGAGGUUGGCAAGAACAUAAACCAGGACAAGACCUUGAGCAUGCAGCACUAUGUGGACGAUUAUAGCCAACAUGUAAACAAAAUGGCUUCAGCAUUUGAGAUGAAACCUGAAAGAGAGAAGCAAAUGGGUUCUAAUAAACUGCGCUCAAUCAGACAGUUAAGAGACCUGGUCUGGAAGGACCUGGACCUUGUGAUAGAAAUAGAGUCAAUGCCACCCUACCCGUGGAAAAUGCUGGAUGUCAUGUGGCCAGUGGUCUUCGGAAUCUUCCUGGGAUUUGCUGGUGCUUUCCUGCUGUUCAUGCCUGUGCUGUUCUUUGCUACUUGUGUCUGCCAUAGUGACAGGAACUACGUCGCAUUUCCCAGAUAAACUUUAAAUGUCAACAUCUGUGUUGAUGUGGUAACUUCACCAGAACUUGAGUUUUCAGGUCUGAACCUGCAUUUUGAUCAGACUGUAGACGGUUCAGUAAAAUUGUUAUAUUAUCUGUUUAAAACUGAAAAGCUGGC
rnacentral:lncRNA from 1 species